ensembl:piRNA 21ur-4513 ncRNA
UGCAUCGUUUUUAUUGUAAAU